rnacentral:rRNA from 1 species
AAACCUGCUCGGAGGCCUAACACAUGCAAGUCGAGCGGAUGACGGGAGCUUGCUCCUUGAUUCAACGGCGGACGGGUGAGUAAUGCCUAUGAAUCUGACUGGUAGAUGGGGACAACUUUUCGAAGGGAACGCUAAUACCGCAUACGUCCUACCGGAAAAAGCAAGGGAGCUUCCGUCCUUGCUCUAUCAAAUGAACCUACGCUCGGAUUAACUAGUUGGUGGGGUAAUGGCUCACCCAGGCGAGGAUCCGUAACUGGUCUGACAGGAUGAUCAGUCACACUGGAACUGACACACAGUCCAGACUCAUACCGGAGGCAGGAGUGGGGAAUAUAUGUCAAUGGGCGAAAGCCUGAUCCAUGCAUGCCCUGGUGUGUGAAUAAGGUCUGCCGGAUUGUUAAUCACUUUAAGUUGGGAGGAAGGGCAGUGAGCUAGUACCUUGCUGUUUUGACGGUAUCGACAGAAUAAGCACCGGCUAACUCUGUGCCGGCAGCCGCGGUAAUACAGAGGGUGCGAGCGUGCAUCGGAAUUACUGGGGGUCAAUCGCGCGUAAGUGGUUUGUUUACUUGGAUGUUAAAACACCGCGGUCAUCUGGGGAAUGCUUCCUUAAAUGGGGAGCUUGAAUUACGCUAGAAGGUGGGGGGGAAUACCUGCGGUAGCGGCGGAAUGCCUUCGUUUUAAGGAAGGAGAACCUACGGGGGAAGGAAACCACCCUCCACUUC